rnacentral:rRNA from 1 species
AGCAGCCGCGGUAAUUCCAGCUCCAAUAGCGUAUAUUAAAGUUGUUGCAGUUAAAAAGCUCGUAGUUGAAUUUCGGGAUCAAUUAGUCGGUCGUGCCUCUGGUACGUACUGGUUUUAUUGGUUCCUCCCUUCUGACGAAACAUGAUGUCAUUAAUUUGGUGUCGUGGAGAAUCAGGACUGUUACCUUGAAAAAAUUAGAGUGUUUAUAGCAGGCUAACGCUUGAAUACAUUAGCAUGGAAUAAUGAAAUAGGACGUUCGACCCUAUUUUGUUGGUUUCUAGGAUCGACGUAAUGAUUAAUAGGGAUAGUUGGGGGCAUUAGUAUUCAAUUGUCAGAGGUGAAAUUCUUGGAUUUAUUGAAGACUAACUACUGCGAAAGCAUUUGCUAAGGAUGUUUUCAUUAAUCAAGAACGAAAGUUAGGGGAUCGAAGACGAUCAGAUACCGUCGUAGUCUUAACCAUAAACUAUGCCGACUAGGGAUCGGAUGAUGUUAAUUUUUAAUGUACUCAUUCGGCGCCUUA